AUCUAAGUAGGCGGAGGAAGAGAAAACAAUUUAGUGAUUCCCCAAGUAGUGGCGAGCGAACGGGGAACAGCCCAAACCGUGUAUGUUUAGGCAUGUACGGGGUUGUAGGACCCUUUUUAGUCUGUUAAUUUCAAGUGGAAGCGUUUUGGAAAAUUCUACCAUAGAAGGUGAUAGUCCUGUACACGUUCAAAUUAGCAGAUGUAGGGUAUCCUGAGUACCGCGGGACCGGAGAAAUCCUGUGGGAAUCUGCCAGCACCAUCUGGCAAGGCUAAAUACUCCUGAGAGACCGAUAGCGCACAAGUA
rnacentral:rRNA from 1 species